CCCGCCGUCGCCCAAUUCCCCCAGCCCCCACCCUCGGCUGCUGCCCGAGCUUCCUCCACGCGCCGUGCAGUCUCCACGGCGACGCUGCGUUCCCGACUCGGAGCCCCCAGCUCCGCGCGAGCAGCUAGCCGGGCUGGCUCUCGGUGUGUGCCCUUCGGAUGGUCUGCUGAAGAGGGCCGCCAGCUGGUAAGACACUCCGAGGCAACGACCGGUCUCCCUCUCCCUAGCCCGGUGUGCAGUCUGACCCAGCCCCCACAGCAGACCACCCCCAGACCGGGCGCCCGAGUCUGCGGACCGCUCUACCGCACCUGGUUCUGGCUCUGGGCCCCGGGCCCCGUGGCUGCCAGGGGCCGCCGGGAAGGGAGGAUGCGCGCCACUGGGGUGCGCCUGGCUUGCGGCACCCUCCUCCCGCAGUGGUCGGAAGAGGACUUCUGUAGACAAGACAGAUACUGUAAAGACAGCAAAGAACAAACAGAAUGGCAGAUUGCUAAUGUUUGAUCCAAACGAAAAAGUGAUGAUUGAAUCAAACGAAGCAAUGUCAGAGUAAGAAGAUGUCUUUGAUUGUGCAGCUGAUCUCUCCCAUGCCUUUUAAGCAAUUAGAACUAGAUAAUGCAGCCAUUUGUCACCCAAUUAAAUUUGAAAGGCCAGAAAUGCAUGGAUUAGCACUUCAGCUUUUGCUGCAGUCAAAGCAAUUGUUACUAUAGAUAGAAGGACAGUUAAAAUGAAAAAUGAAUUUUGAUAAAAAUGCAGAAGUAUAGAUAAUAUUCACUUCUACUUUUUAAUGCUUAAACACCCUGUAUUCUGUAUUUUACUUGUAUCAUAAUUUUCAUUGCUCAUUCCUAUUUCCCUUUGAUACUUAUUUCUUUCACAAUAUUUCUUCAAGUGAAUAUGUACUUUAAAAUUAACAAAUUAUUUACUAUAACAUGAAUUGUUACUACUCAAUAAAGAAAGUAAUCACCUCAACUAGUUGAAGAAACUGGUGUUAAAAAAAUUGUAUUCUUUCCAGCCUUUUGGCUAAGAUCAAGUGUAAAAAAAUCACAGUACAA
rnacentral:lncRNA from 1 species